GCCUGUCCCCACCUUUUUUAGGUCCUCGCUCUCUCUGCCCCGUAGCCCGUGGCUAUUGUUUCCUUCUCUCUCUCCCUGUCUCUCUGUCCGGCCCCCAGCCACUGUUUCUGCAUUCCUCCCCCUCGGUCCUGUAGCCCGUCGGUAUUUCUGCCAUCUCUGGCUCUCUCUGUGCGGCUCCUCGUUCCUGUUGUUCGAGGUCUUCCUUCUCGGCUCCGUAGCGAGUCGUCGUGAGUCUCUCUCUUUCUCCGUCCCUCUUGAGCCUCUUCCCUGCCCCUCGUUUUGAAGGCCCGCCUCUCUGUCCCGGCACCCGUCGCUACGGUUCCUUUUUUCGGUCUGGCUCCGUCUCGCUCCCCGUCCCUGUUUUUCUAAAGUCUCCCCUCUCUGCCUCCUAGCCCGUCGGUACCUUUUUCUUUCCCCGUCGCGGUUCGUCUGGCUCCCUGUCCCUCUUUCUUUCUUCCUUCCUUCCUCCCUGUCUGCCCCGCAGCCCGUCCCUUCGUUCCUUUCUCCUUCCCUCUCUGUCCCUCUCCCGGUCCCCGGCUUUAAACUCUGCUUCUCUGCCCGGUAGCUCGCCACCGUCUUACCUUUCCCCGUCUCUCUCUCUCUCUGUCCAGCUCCCUCUCUCGAAUCUUCAAUUCCUCCCUGUCGCUGCAGAAGCCUGUCGGGACUUUUUCCCCUGCCCGGCUUGCCUCUCCCUGUCUCGCGAUUCCUCCCUCUCUGCCCUCUUAGCCGCGACCGUUUUUAUAUUCUCCGUCUCUCCCUCGGUCCGCCUCGAGAUCCCGAUUGUUUUUUAAAGCGACCGAAUCGUCGAGGUUGGCAGAGACCUUUACGAUUAUCGGGUGGAACCGCGAACCUGGCGCCGGCAAGUCCCCCUCUGCCCCGCAGCCUGUCCCUUCCCUUCCGACGGCCUCUUUCUCCACCUCCCUCUGUCCGGCUCCCGGCCCCUCUUUUCCACUUCCGCCCUCUGUACCCUGUGGCUUUCCCCCUCUUCUUUCUCUCUCUGUCUCUGUUUGAGGAGGAGCAGCUGCCGCCCCAGCGUUCGCACCCCGUUCACGGUGUCGCGCGCACGCUUCUUCUCGGGCGCGCUUCCUCCUCCUCCUUCGGGCUCGACCCGAGGCUUCCGGCAGCAGUCUCCGGGUGUCGGAUUUUGUAAAAUAAUUAACGUAACUGAAAGGUGCAGCAGCGGGAUCGGCCCGGGUGGGGCGCCUCCAAAGAGAGGGACCCCGAACAAAGAAAUCCCGGGGCCGUUCCACGCUUGGGUCCCGGACACCCGCCCCUCGCGCGCUGUCCGCGCGUCCCUUAGUCCCGCGGUGACUUUUGGUCUGGGGUCUUCUACCGUCGUCUCGGAUUCUUCUUCUGUAUAGCUGUGGGCGGUGCGUUAUUCCACAGGUGCCGCCGCGCCGAUGCUCCGUACGUUCGCAGUAACGGGUAGAGCGGAAGGCUCCGUGGCCAGGGAAGAGCGGCACGGACACGUUCCUGCUCGCUCCGUUGCACCGGAAUUUCGACGGCUGGGUUCGGCCGCUAAAUUGAUGGCGCUACCGGAAGAAAUUUCAGAAAAAUAUGAGAAAAGCUCUGUCCAGAGAUAUGGAGACGAAAUCAGUUGUACCUCACCCCGUGACACCGGAAGACAUUGAGUAACUCGUCCUGCAGCUGGCUCCUCGGUUUUGGCGGCAGCCUGCACAUAGCAGCCCAGCUCUCCAGCAGCCUGACGGACCGACCGUGUGUCUGUUCCACGCCGGACUGGCGAGCGUGGCUCUGGGUAGGACAGCCGAGGUGCCCCAGGGCCGGGCCCCGGUGCGGAGUCUCUCCCGGGACCGGCUCUGUGUGUGACUGAAUAAACGCUUGUGGUCUCUUUUGCUGUG